GACGAACGCUGGCGGCGUGCUUAACACAUGCAAGUCGAACGGAAAGGCCUGCUUUCCCUUGUGGAUUGCGGGUACUCGAGUGGCGAACGGGUGAGUAACACGUGAGUGAUCUGCCCCCAACUUGGGUAUAAGCCUGGGAAACUGGGUCUAAUUCCCGAUAGGACUGCAGGGUGGUGCCUGUGGUGGAAAACGAUUCUCUAGUGGUUGGGGAUGAGCUCGCGGCCUAUCAGCUUGUUGGUGGGGUAAUGGCCUACCAAGGCGGCGACGGGUAGCCGGCCUGAGAGGGUGGACGGCCACAUUGGGACUGAGAUACGGCCCAGACUCCUACGGGAGGCAGCAGUGGGGAAUAUUGCACAAUGGGCGGAAGCCUGAUGCAGCGACGCCGCGUGGGGGAUGACGGCCUUCGGGUUGUAAACUCCUUUCGACCGCGAGGAAGCCACCUGGUUGGAAGGGUGGUGACGGUAGUGGUAGAAGAAGCACCGGCUAACUACGUG
rnacentral:rRNA from 1 species